AAGAAAAAAGAGAAAGAAAGAUGGGAAAGAAAGAAUUUGGAGGGGUUUUGUUUUUUGGUUUUUGUUUUUUCCUUUUGU
rnacentral:ribozyme from 13 species